rnacentral:rRNA from 1 species
ACGCUCGACACCUACGGGAGGAGCAGUGGGGAAUAUUGCACAAUGGGGGAAACCCUGAUGCAGCGACGCCGCGUGAGCGAAGAAGUAUUUCGGUAUGUAAAGCUCUAUCAGCAGGGAAGAAGAAAGACGGUACCUGACUAAGAAGCCCCGGCUAACUACGUACCAGCAGCCGCGGUAAUCUGAGCGGGCUGGCAAGGC